rnacentral:rRNA from 1 species
UACGUAGGGUGCAAGCGUUAAUCGGAAUUACUGGGCGUAAAGCGUGCGCAGGCGGUUUUGUAAGUCUGUCGUGAAAGCCCCGGGCUCAACCUGGGAAUUGCGAUGGAGACUGCAAGGCUUGAAUCUGGCAGAGGGGGGUAGAAUUCCACGUGUAGCAGUGAAAUGCGUAGAGAUGUGGAGGAACACCGAUGGCGAAGGCAGCCCCCUGGGUCAAGAUUGACGCCCAUGCACGAAAGCGUGGGGAGCAAACAGG